rnacentral:lncRNA from 1 species
UUCUUACCAGUUGGGACAUCUUCUGGAUAUAUGCCCAGGAGAGGUAUUGCUGGAUCCUCCGGUAGUACUAUGUCCAAUUUUCUGAGGAACCACCAGACUGAUUUCCAGAGUGGUUGUACAACUUGCAAUCCCACCAACAAUGAAGGAGUGUUCCUCUUUCUCCACAUCCACGCCAGCAUCUGCUGUCACCUGAAUUUUUGAUCUUAGCCAUUCUGACUGGUGUGAGAUGGAAUCUUAGGGUUGUUUUGAUUUGCAUUUCUCUGAUGAUUAAGGUAUAUUCAUUUUUAUUCUGGCAUUUUUCUUAUAAUUAUUUUGAGAAUCAUCCAUACUCCUGUAUGGAUCAGUAUUUUGCUUUAAUUUUUUUAGAAAUUUAUUCUUUGAAAAUUUUCACGUAUGUAUGCAUUGUAUUUUUAUCAUUACCACCUCCUUCCAGCUUUCCUCAGGACACCCUGCCUGUCUCCAUUCUGAUUUUUCUUCUCUUUUUCAUCAUCAUCCCCCCUGAAUCUAGUUAAGUGUUGAGCAGUUGUGCAUGGGUAUGGGGCCCCCUGCUGGGGCAACCUGUGCAGCUACAUUCCCAGAGAAAAGUGACUAAACUUUCCUCAGUAGCUCAACUGCCUAUGGCUCAUUUGCCAAGACUAGUUCUUGACAGCCUGUCUCCCAUCCACCCUGGACUUUGACUGGCUUGAUCUUAUGCAGGCGGCCACAGCUUCUGUGAGUUGAUUUGUGCAGCAGCUCAUGUAAUGUCCUGAAAACAGCACUUCACAACUGUCCUUCCCCAUCCAUUGGCUUUUACAUUCUUUCUAUUCCCUCUUCUGUGAUGGUCUACAAACCUUGGAUGGGGAUAUAUUCUGACCCAUCUCUGGCUAAGCAUUCACAGUCACUUAUCAGCAUUCUUAUUAGUUUCUGAUCAGGAGUUUCUGUAUUAACCAUGACUCACUGUAAGAAAAAGCUUUUCUGACAAUGAUUGAGAGGGAAUUUUUAUAUAUCUUUAGUGUAUAUCUUUAUGCUCUGAUUAAAGUGAUGUCUGCCAGGCCUUUUCAAUGUGGUAGUAAUAUUUUUCUUUUUAAAAUCAAUAAAUAUUUGGGGGAAAAUGUAUUGUGUAACCUCCUCUUCAAAAUUUUACUUAAAUAUUUUAUUGAAGACUUCUUCCUGAAUUUUUACUGUGAUGUUGCCAGCCAAUGAUUGUUGACAGACAGCUUUAUUGAGCUGGUAUGUACAUGCAGUCUGGCUGUCACAUAGAAUGUAGCUUAGUAGAUGUUUUUAAGGACUGUGCUGCUCUAAGUACAGAUAACUUUUGAAAUAGUUUAGUUUCCUCUCAUAGGAAAUCUAAGUUCCAUUAAGAGUCUUUUCACUCUAGAAUCACUCCAUCUGCUGCCCUGGGGAAACUCUAAUCUAUAGAUGCUAAACUGAACAUUUCAAAUAAAUGAAGUCAUUUAGUGAAGCUAAAAUAGACUCAUACAUUGUACUGUUCUCUUAUCUUUAAUGUAUACCCUGCUUCCUGUUCUUGGACUUUGGUGUUUGCACUUGCCUACUCAGGGCUGUAGCAGCUAAACUAUAUUUAAAAGACUCUGUUUUCCUGGGAUGAUUGUAAUAAUACUGUUUAUUUUUAGGUAAAAAGUUUAGAAUGGAAGAACAAAGAAAACCAAGAAAGGGGAUUUUCAUUUUUGUUUUCACAUUUUAAGAAGUUUUACUUGCCUUAUAUUUUCCCAAACAUUUGCAAGGAGAAUAGUUUGUAUCAUCCUGUACUUGGUAAGUAUAAUUUAGAAUUUUACAGUUUACAGAGUAAGAUGUCAGUGGCAUUUGUUACUUACAGAACACUGACCACUCUACUAUUUGUAUUGAUGCUAUACCCAGAUUUAUAACAAAAGUACAUUUACAGUAAUACAUUUUCACUGAGAAUGGGAAAAUUUCACAAAAAGUUGUUCUUUGGAUCUUACCCAGUAGUUAAUAGUAGUUUAACUUGGAUUCUAAUGUUUCUAUGAUCGUUAGUGUAUGUGUAUAUAUUUAUUUUUUUAAAUUUUGAGACACAGAGUUGGUAAGUCACCUAGGAUGGCCUGGGUCUUGGUACAUAACCCAACUGGUCUCAAACAUGUGAUUUUUCUGUCUCACCCACUAAGUGCUGGGGUUGCAGGUAUGCACCACCAUGCCUGACCUUAUUAUGUAUUAUGAAUUUUUCCCCCUAUGAUUUCUCAAGGAUUCUCUUAACUGUUAAAUUGUAUAAAUAGUUAAAUUGUUUUCUCUUUUUGUCAUUUCUUGUCUGAUUUUUAGUGUUUUUGCAAAAUGACCUUGACAUUAGAGCCUUUUGUACAAAUCUGGUUUAGAGGCAGACGUGGGUCUUAUAGAAAAGGGAGAGACAAGUCUAUUCUGAAGAGACGCUCCUCAUAGAACAUCUUCAGGCAGCUAGCAGGCUUGGGCAGUGCCUUAGUGGCCAUCUCAUUGAGUGUUUUGGUUUGCUUGUUUGGUUUUGUUUUUGCUUUUGUUUCAAGACGGUUUCUCUGGCUGUCCAGGAACUCACUAUGUGGACCAGGCUUGCCUCAAACUCAAAGAUCCUCCUGCCUCUGCCUCCCGAAUGCUAGGUUGAUUGAAUUUUGGAAAAGACAUGUUUUUGUUUUGGUUUGGUUUUUUAUAUUAGCCUAAUAUAUGGUUCUUCUAGGUUCUUAGGUAGCAUCUAUCAUCAUAGAAUUAUUUAUUUUUUUAUUAACACUUAUAAAAUCAGUGAAGUGUCACAAUAUCUUCUGAAGACUUUUAAGAUGAAGGCUUAGCUACGGGUAAUGUGCUUUUCACUUUAUGUUUUGUUUUCUCUUUUUAUAUAGAUAUCCCACAGAUCAGACCAAAGCCUCAUUAUGUGAUGAUAAAGAAGGAUGCUGAAACCAAUGAAACAAUAUAUUGUACAAAAGAGCCUUUCAUCCAGGCUCGGGUUAUUGUCAUUCGUUGGCUGGUUUCUUUCUGGCUGGAGCCAAAACCACAUUCAGGACCUAAUAUUCCUGGGAUGGAAGGUGAAGUCUUGCCAAAGAAUAUUCAGGUAAUGUUUAAUAAAAUAAGCAACGUUAAGUGGCUUCCUGAGUUUACCUGCCUUAGGUAUACUGCAUAUUUAAAAUGGACGCUAGUGAUGGUUUAUUUGAAUAAAUCUAUCUCAAAACUCAAACUUUAACUGUUCUUGCAGAAGUAGUAUGUAUUUUCUUAAUAGAAAAUAAAAUUUGUAUAAUAAUAUAUAUUUUUAAAGAAAGCUUAAGAGAUGCAGAAGAUGAUUUUAGCCAUAUAUUAGUCUUAGGUUCUAGUUUAUCUCAGUAUUAAUGGAAUAAUAGUCUCCUUUGGAGAUUACUGAAACUGCAGAUAGUAUGGACCUUUGUAUGCUGUUUCCCCUAAUUUAGUGUAUGAUAGUUUUAGUGUAACUGUGGUUCUCAUGCUUGCAUGACAAUCAGUUCAUUUCCUACUACCUUAUCCUCUGACCUCAUCUUUUUUCAUUUCUAAACAUUCACAGAAUAUAGAUAUGAAGUCUAGCCCAAAUACCUCCAAUUAUCAGUAGAUACUGAGUCUAAAAACAAAAUAGGAUGUUAUAGCUAUAAAGCGUAUAAACAUGUAUUUUAAAUUACAUGUUUGCUUGUUUUAAAUUGGACAGUUUAUCUCAUUUUCAUACUUUUUUUUCUGGUUCUCUUUUCCCUUAAUGUGUUUUCCCUACAUACACAUGUAUGUAUGUGUUUGUUUGUUUGUUUUACUGAGUGAUGCCAUUUAUCUGAGUUGACACAUACUUAAAAUAUCAAGUCUUUGUUUUCUAUGAAUUAAAAUACUUUUUUAUUGAAAAUAUAAUAUAUUUUGAUUUUUCCCCAGAUCCUUCCCACCUCUCUAUCCACCCAACUUUAUGUUUUUUUCCUCUCUCUUUAAAACAGAAAAGCCAAAAACAAGAAACAUACACACAUACACAAUGG